rnacentral:rRNA from 1 species
UACGUAGGGAGCAAGCGUUGUUCGGAAUUACUGGGCGUAAAGGGCUCGUAGGUGGCCAACUAAGUCAGACGUGAAAUCCCCAGGCUCAACUUGGGAACUGCGUCUGAUACUGGAUGGCUUGAAUUCGGGAGAGGGAUGCAGAAUUCCAGGUGUAGCGGUGAAAUGCGUAGAUAUCUGGAGGAAUACCGGUGGCGAAGGCGGCAUCCUGGACCGAGAUUGACACUGAUGAGCGAAAGCUAGGGGAGCAAACGGG